rnacentral:rRNA from 1 species
AUUGAACGCUGGCGGCAGGCCUAACACAGGCAAGUCGAACGAGUGGCGGACGGGUGAGUAAUGUCUGGGAAACUGCCCGAUGGAGGGGGAUAACUACUGGAAACAGUAGCUAAUACCGCAUACCAUCGGAUGUUCCCAGAUAGGAUUAGCUAGUGGGUGGGGAAACGGCUCACCUAGGCGCAGAUCCCUAGCUGGUCUGAGAGGAUGACCGGCCACGCUGGAACUGAGCCACUGUCCUGACUCCUACGUGACGCAGCAGUGGGGACUAUUGCCCACUGGCCGUACGCCCGAUGCAGCCAUGCCGCGUGUAUGAAGAAGGCCUUCGGGUUGUAAAGUACUUUCAGCGAGAAUGCGUUACUCGCAGAAGAAGCACCGGCUAACUCCGUGCCAGCAGCCGCGGUAAUAC